rnacentral:rRNA from 1 species
UGCGGCGUGCUCAUACAUGCAGUCGAGCGGAUCUUUAAAGCUUGCUUCUAAAGGUUAGCGGCGGACGUGGUACACGUGGGCAACCUGCCUGUAAGACUGGGAUACUUCGGGAAACCGGAGCUAAUACCGGAUAAUCUAUUCCCUCGCAUGAGGGAAUGCUGAAAGACGGCUUACGCUGUCACUUACAGAUGGGCCCGCGGCGCAUUAGCUAGUUGGUGAGGUAACGGCUCACCAAUGCGAAGAUGCGUAGCCGACCUGAGAGGGUGAUCGGCCACACUGGGACUGAGACACGGCCCAGACUCCUACGGGAGGCAGCAGUAGGGAAUCUUCCGCAAUGGACGAAAGUCUGACGGAGCAACGCCGCGUGAGCGAAGAAGGCCUUCGGGUUGUAAAGCUCUGUUGUUAGGGAAGAACAAGUAUCGGAGUAACUGCCGGUACCUUGACGGUACCUAACCAGAAAGCCACGGCUA